rnacentral:rRNA from 1 species
UACGAAGGGUGCAAGCGUUAAUCGGAAUUACUGGGCGUAAAGCGUGCGUAGGUGGUCUUUUAAGUCCGUUGUGAAAGCCCUGGGCUCAACCUGGGAAUGGCAGUGGAUACUGGAAGGCUGGAGUACGGUAGAGGAGGGUGGAAUUCCCGGUGUAGCGGUGAAAUGCGCAGAUAUCGGGAAGAACACCCGUGGCGAAGGCGGUUCUCUGGGACGGUACUGACGCUGAGACGCGAAAGCGUGGGGAGCGAACAGG